UACUCCUACGGGAGGCAGCAGUGAGGAAUAUUGGUCAAUGGACGAGAGUCUGAACCAGCCAAGUCGCGUGAAGGAAGACGGCCCUACGGGUUGUAAACUUCUUUUGUAAGGGAAUAAAUAGUCUUACGUGCUAAGACGUUGCAGGUACCUUACGAAUAAGGAUCGGCUAACUCCGUGCCAGCAGCCGCGGUAAUA
rnacentral:rRNA from 1 species